AGUGAACGCUGGCGGUAGGCCUAACACAUGCAAGUCGAACGGCAGCACAGUAAGGGCUUGCUCUUACGGGUGGCGAGUGGCGGACGGGUGAGGAAUACAUCGGAAUCUACUUUUUCGUGGGGGAUAACGUAGGGAAACUUACGCUAAUACCGCAUACGACCUACGGGUGAAAGCAGGGGAUCUUCGGACCUUGCGCGAUUGAAUGAGCCGAUGUCGGAUUAGCUAGUUGGCGGGGUAAAGGCCCACCAAGGCGACGAUCCGUAGCUGGUCUGAGAGGAUGAUCAGCCACACUGGAACUGAGACACGGUCCAGACUCCUACGGGAGGCAGCAGUGGGGAAUAUUGGACAAUGGGCGCAAGCCUGAUCCAGCCAUACCGCGUGGGUGAAGAAGGCCUUCGGGUUGUAAAGCCCUUUUGUUGGGAAAGAAAAGCAGCAGGUUAAUACGCCGCUGUUCUGACGGUACCCAAAGAAUAAGCACCGGCUAACUUCGUG
rnacentral:rRNA from 1 species